GCGGCCUGCACCUCAGCUUCCUCCGCACGGUUAUCCCUGUACCCGCCGCCAUCCAUCCUGGCGCUCCGGAUGAGUCAAUGAGGGGCAGCGCCCGAGGAAUGGUCUUCCCAAGAACCCCCGGUGGCCUCCCAAGGCCGGCCUCGUGGGCUGUGCGGCUCUCCUGGAGACAGAUGACAGCUCUCCCUUGGAUGGCUUUGCUAGUUUCGCACCAGCCAGCGCCCCAUUUUUCCUGCAGCACCCUGAUCCGCACUCCCUGAGGGGCUCCCACUGUCCGCGGUGUGAGGAUGUCCCUGGAAAUUGGUCUUCUGUGACUUUCUUGAUGGGGGCAGGUGAGAUGUUUGUACUGCAUUAAGUGGAUAGCGCUCAGGUCCUUUGGGCUUGGCGCUUUGGCAAUCUCCAAGCAGCUCACUUUGGCCUCAGUUCCUGGAUCCCCUCUGUUCUUUUCUGCGCCUGCAUUCAUAGUCCACUGUGUGCAGAGGCAUGGGAGUUGUCAUGUCGAUAACAUGCUAGACCUCAGUGUCCUUGAGGGAUGCCGCCUUGGGUCUGGAGACUGUU
rnacentral:lncRNA from 1 species